rnacentral:lncRNA from 1 species
CAUUUGUAGAGAAUAUUUCUGGGGCACUGAGGAGAGAAACAGGAACGUGACUAGUAGCUGAUGGUGACCUGGACACCUGCCUGGAUGUGGUCAUGCGAGGCUCUGAUGUUCACAGUGCAUCGCUGCUGGGGAGGAAGUCAUCACUCAACACAUCCUGACAUUUCAGUCAAGGACAGACCUCAUGUGU